CUCUAUUAACCUCACAGAUUGUUUCUUUUGCUGAGAAGAAACUUUUUACAUCCCAUUUACUGAUUCUUGAUUUUUAAUUCUUGCGCUAUAGGAGUCUUAUUAAGGAAGUUGAGGCCUAAUCCAACACGAUGAAGAUUAGGGCCUGCUUUUUCUUCUAUUAGACGCAGGGUCUCUGGUUUAAUUCCUAAAUCCUGAUCCCACUUUCAAUUGAGUUUUGUGCAUGGUGAGAGACAGGGGUUUAAUUUCAUUUUGUUGCGUAAGGAUUUCCAGUUUUCCCAGCACCAUUUGUUGAAGAGGCUAUCUUUUCUCCAAUGUAUGUUUUGGCACCUUUAUCUAAUAUAAUUGUAAUUUUGUGGGUUAGUCUCUGUGUCCUCUAUUCUGUACCAUUGAUCUACCAGUCUGUUUUGGUGCCAAUACCAUGCUGUUUUUGUUACUAUUGCUCUGUAGUAUAGCUUAAGGUCUGGUAUAGUGAUGCCAUCUGCUUCACUCUUCCUGCUAAGGAUUUCUUUAGCUAUUCUGGGUCUCUUAUUUUUCCAGAUGAAUUUCAUGAUUGCUUUUUCUAUUUCUAUGAGCAAUGCCAUUGGGAUUUUGACUGGAAUUGCAUUAAAUAUGUAUAGUGCUUUUGGUAGUAUGGUCAUUUUGAUAAUAUUAAUUCUGCCUAUCUAAGAGCAAGGUAGAUUUUUCCAUCUUCUUUGAUUUCGUUCUUUAGCAUUCUGUAGUUUUCAUUGUAUAGAUCUUUUACCUCUUUUGUUAAGUUCAUUCUGAAGUGUUUUUUGUUGUUGUUGUUGUUUGUU
rnacentral:lncRNA from 1 species